rnacentral:rRNA from 1 species
GCUAAACGCGAAGAACCUUACCUACUCUUGACAUCCAGAGAACUUUCCAGAGAUGGAUUGGUGCCUUCGGGAACUCUGAGACAGGUGCUGCAUGGCUGUCGUCAGCUCGUGUUGUGAAAUGUUGGGUUAAGUCCCGCAACGAGCGCAACCCUCGCCUUUAGUUGCCAUCAUUAAGUUGGGCACUCUAGAGGGACUGCCGGUGAUAAGCCGGAGGAAGGUGGGGAUGACGUCAAGUCCUCAUGGCCCUUACGGGUAGGGCUACACACGUGCUACAAUGGCGCAUACAAAGAGAAGCGACCUCGCGAGAGCAAGCGGACCUCAUAAAGUGCGUCGUAGUCCGGAUUGGAGUCUGCAACUCGACUCCAUGAAGUCGGAAUCGCUAGUAAUCGUAGAUCAGAAUGCUACGGUGAAUACGUUCCCGGGUCUUGUACACACCG